GCCGCGGGUCCGUCACCUUUUUCUGUCCGCCGUUAUCUAGUGACCAACAGGCGAUACAGAGCAAAGAAAAUACCGGCCACCGAGAGGUUCGGUACGGCCUCGGUCUGGUAUAAGUUUCUAGAAGGUGAAGGAACUGCCUGGUCAUUUGGAUAUGCAUUGCUUAAGUAUCUGGGGAGUUGCAAAUGGUGAUGACCAUCCAUCAGUUAAUAUUAUCUACUUCUGACAUUGUGAUGAGGGAAGGUCAUUGAAGCAGCUGAAAAUGAUUGGACUGAGGACACUACUCUAAGGAAUUCCUACGGCUCUCAUGGCGUAGUGGUAUUGGCCCUGCCUCUGAGCCAGGAGGCCUGCUCCAGAGUUGGGUCCUCCCCUGCUUCACACCGUGGACUGGACAACUCUGGAAACUGUACAGUGAAGAUAUGCUGCAAAAGGAAGUGCAAGAUGAUGAGUGCAGAGCUGACAUCACCAUCUGGUGGCAAAAGAAAGCUAUUGCACUUGGUAUUUACAAUCCCUCAGUCAAAAGACCAAUCAUUCUGCUUGACUUCCGAUGCCAAACUGGAUCGGGCACUUUUUUUAAAUUGAAGUCAUUCGACCUUAGUGCAUUUGCAAUGAUGUAUAUAUGGCACAUUGAAAUUAUCACAAUUUCUGUGCCUAAUAACUAGUAAAAUAAAAGUAAUCAUCAAUA